rnacentral:rRNA from 1 species
CCUACGGGCGGCAGCAGUGGGGGAUAUUGCACAAUGGGGGAAACCCUGAUGCAGCGACGCCGCGUGUGGGAAGACGGUCCUCUGGAUUGUAAACCACUGUCCUCAGGGACGAAGAUGACGGUACCUGGGGAGUAAGCUCCGGCAAACUACGUGCCAGCAGCCGCGGUACUACGUAGGGAGCGAGGGUUGUCCGGAAUUACUGGGUUUAAGGGGAGUGUAGGCGGGUCUGCAAGUUGGGUGUAAAAUCUACCGGUUCAACCGGUAGCCGCACUCAAAACUGCAGUUUUUGAGUGAAGUAGAGGCAGGCGGAAUGCCUGGUGUAGCGGUGAAAUGCGUAGAUAUUAGGAAGAACACCGAUGGCGAAGGCAGCCUGCUGGGCUUUUACUGACGCUGAGGCUCGAAAGUGUGGGGAGCAAACAGGAUUAGAUACCCGUGUAGUC